rnacentral:SRP_RNA from 1 species
UUACGCUAAGCGGGAGAGUAGCGGUCUCUUGUACCUGAAAUCCGCUAUAGCAGGGCUGAAUGCUUAUUUAAGGCUUUGGUUUUUAGUACAGAAUACUCAGUUUUCUAUGUUGACAGUUUAAGUCUUGUUCGAUAGAAAACCAUGAACCUCGUCAGGUCCGGAAGGAAGCAGCGAUAAGUGUCAUUUUCUAUGUGCUGCAAGGGUGCUUAUUCCGAGUAGUACUGUUUAUUGCUGCUAAGAAUUACUGUCGAGGAUAAGUGCGUAA